rnacentral:rRNA from 1 species
AUUCCAGCUCCAAUAGCGUAUAUUAAAGUUGUUGCAGUUAAAAAGCUCGUAGUUGAACUUCUGGCUAUUCUUCCAGCUGGCUUCGGUCGCUGUAAGAGUGGUCAUCCGCUUGGGAACUACGUUCGAACUUCACUGUUCGGCGUAAGGAACAGGCAUUUUACUUAGAAAAAAUUAGAGUGUUCAAGGCAGGCUAUCGCCCUGAAUACACAAGCUUGGAAUAAUGAAAUAGGACUAUUUCCAUUUUAUUGGUUAUUGGAAUUAGUAAUGAUUAAUAGGGACAGUUGGGGACAUUAGUAUUUAAUUGUCAGAGGUGAAAUUCUUGGAUUUAUUAAAGACUGACUUAUGCGAAAGCAUUUGUCAAGGAUGUUUUCAUCA